rnacentral:rRNA from 1 species
UAAGCGACUAAGCGUACACGGUGGAUGCCCUGGCAGUCAGAGGCGAUGAAGGACGUGCUAAUCUGCGAUAAGCGUCGGUAAGGUGAUAUGAACCGUUAUAACCGGCGAUUUCCGAAUGGGGAAACCUAGUGUGAUUCGUCACACUAUCAUUAACUGAAUCCAUAGGUUAAUGAGGCGAACCGGGGGAACUGAAACAUCUAAGUACCCCGAGGAAAAGAAAUCAACCGAGAUUCCCCCAGUAGCGGCGAGCGAACGGGGAGCAGCCCAGAGCCUGAAUCAGUGUGUGUGUUAGUGGAAGCGUCUGGAAAGGCGCGCGAUACAGGGUGACAGCCCCGUACACAAAAAUGCACAUACUGUGAGCUCGAUGAGUAGGGCGGGACACGUGGUAUCCUGUCUGAAUAUGGGGGGACCAUCCUCCAAGGCUAAAUACUCCUGACUGACCGAUAGUGAACCAGUACCGUGAGGGAAAGGCGAAAAGAACCCCGGCGAGGGGAGUGAAAAAGAACCUGAAACCGUGUACGUACAAGCAGUGGGAGCCUCUUUUAUGGGGUGACUGCGUACCUUUUGUAUAAUGGGUCAGCGACUUAUAUUCUGUAGCAAGGUUAACCGAAUAGGGGAGCCGAAGGGAAACCGAGUCUUAACUGGGCGUUAAGUUGCAGGGUAUAGACCCGAAACCCGGUGAUCUAGCCAUGGGCAGGUUGAAGGUUGGGUAACACUAACUGGAGGACCGAACCGACUAAUGUUGAAAAAUUAGCGGAUGACUUGUGGCUGGGGGUGAAAGGCCAAUCAAACCGGGAGAUAGCUGGUUCUCCCCGAAAGCUAUUUAGGUAGCGCCUCGUGAAUUCAUCUCCGGGGGUAGAGCACUGUUUCGGCAAGGGGGUCAUCCCGACUUACCAACCCGAUGCAAACUGCGAAUACCGGAGAAUGUUAUCACGGGAGACACACGGCGGGUGCUAACGUCCGUCGUGAAGAGGGAAACAACCCAGACCGCCAGCUAAGGUCCCAAAGUCAUGGUUAAGUGGGAAACGAUGUGGGAAGGCCCAGACAGCCAGGAUGUUGGCUUAGAAGCAGCCAUCAUUUAAAGAAAGCGUAAUAGCUCACUGGUCGAGUCGGCCUGCGCGGAAGAUGUAACGGGGCUAAACCAUGCACCGAAGCUGCGGCAGCGACACUGUGUGUUGUUGGGUAGGGGAGCGUUCUGUAAGCCUGUGAAGGUGUGCUGUGAGGUAUGCUGGAGGUAUCAGAAGUGCGAAUGCUGACAUAAGUAACGAUAAAGCGGGUGAAAAGCCCGCUCGCCGGAAGACCAAGGGUUCCUGUCCAACGUUAAUCGGGGCAGGGUGAGUCGACCCCUAAGGCGAGGCCGAAAGGCGUAGUCGAUGGGAAACAGGUUAAUAUUCCUGUACUUGGUGUUACUGCGAAGGGGGGACGGAGAAGGCUAUGUUGGCCGGGCGACGGUUGUCCCGGUUUAAGCGUGUAGGCUGGUUUUCCAGGCAAAUCCGGAAAAUCAAGGCUGAGGCGUGAUGACGAGGCACUACGGUGCUGAAGCAACAAAUGCCCUGCUUCCAGGAAAAGCCUCUAAGCAUCAGGUAACAUCAAAUCGUACCCCAAACCGACACAGGUGGUCAGGUAGAGAAUACCAAGGCGCUUGAGAGAACUCGGGUGAAGGAACUAGGCAAAAUGGUGCCGUAACUUCGGGAGAAGGCACGCUGAUAUGUAGGUGAAGUCCCUCGCGGAUGGAGCUGAAAUCAGUCGAAGAUACCAGCUGGCUGCAACUGUUUAUUAAAAACACAGCACUGUGCAAACACGAAAGUGGACGUAUACGGUGUGACGCCUGCCCGGUGCCGGAAGGUUAAUUGAUGGGGUCAGCGCAAGCGAAGCUCUUGAUCGAAGCCCCGGUAAACGGCGGCCGUAACUAUAACGGUCCUAAGGUAGCGAAAUUCCUUGUCGGGUAAGUUCCGACCUGCACGAAUGGCGUAAUGAUGGCCAGGCUGUCUCCACCCGAGACUCAGUGAAAUUGAACUCGCUGUGAAGAUGCAGUGUACCCGCGGCAAGACGGAAAGACCCCGUGAACCUUUACUAUAGCUUGACACUGAACAUUGAGCCUUGAUGUGUAGGAUAGGUGGGAGGCUUUGAAGUGUGGACGCCAGUCUGCAUGGAGCCGACCUUGAAAUACCACCCUUUAAUGUUUGAUGUUCUAACGUGGACCCGUGAUCCGGGUUGCGGACAGUGUCUGGUGGGUAGUUUGACUGGGGCGGUCUCCUCCUAAAGAGUAACGGAGGAGCACGAAGGUUGGCUAAUCCUGGUCGGACAUCAGGAGGUUAGUGCAAUGGCAUAAGCCAGCUUGACUGCGAGCGUGACGGCGCGAGCAGGUGCGAAAGCAGGUCAUAGUGAUCCGGUGGUUCUGAAUGGAAGGGCCAUCGCUCAACGGAUAAAAGGUACUCCGGGGAUAACAGGCUGAUACCGCCCAAGAGUUCAUAUCGACGGCGGUGUUUGGCACCUCGAUGUCGGCUCAUCACAUCCUGGGGCUGAAGUAGGUCCCAAGGGUAUGGCUGUUCGCCAUUUAAAGUGGUACGCGAGCUGGGUUUAGAACGUCGUGAGACAGUUCGGUCCCUAUCUGCCGUGGGCGCUGGAGAACUGAGGGGGGCUGCUCCUAGUACGAGAGGACCGGAGUGGACGCAUCACUGGUGUUCGGGUUGUCAUGCCAAUGGCACUGCCCGGUAGCUAAAUGCGGAAGAGAUAAGUGCUGAAAGCAUCUAAGCACGAAACUUGCCCCGAGAUGAGUUCUCCCUGACCCUUUAAGGGUCCUGAAGGAACGUUGAAGACGACGACGUUGAUAGGCCGGGUGUGUAAGCGCAGCGAUGCGUUGAGCUAACCGGUACUAAUGAACCGUGAGGCUUAACCU